UGAGUAAUGUCUGGGAAACUGCCUGAUGGAGGGGGAUAACUACUGGAAACGGUAGCUAAUACCGCAUAACGUCGCAAGACCAAAGAGGGGGACCUUCGGGCCUCUUGCCAUCAGAUGUGCCCAGAUGGGAUUAGCUAGUAGGUGGGGUAAUGGCUCACCUAGGCGACGAUCCCUAGCUGGUCUGAGAGGAUGACCAGCCACACUGGAACUGAGACACGGUCCAGACUCCUACGGGAGGCAGCAGUGGGGAAUAUUGCACAAUGGGCGCAAGCCUGAUGCAGCCAUGCCGCGUGUGUGAAGAAGGCCUUCGGGUUGUAAAGCACUUUCAGCGAGGAGGAAGGUGGUGAACUUAAUACGUUCAUCAAUUGACGUUACUCGCAGAAGAAGCACCGGCUAACUCCGUGCCAGCAGCCGCGGUAAUACGGAGGGUGCAAGCGUUAAUCGGAAUUGCUGGGCGUAAAGCGCACGCAGGCGGUUUGUUAAGUCAGAUGUGAAAUCCCCGGG
rnacentral:rRNA from 1 species